rnacentral:rRNA from 1 species
GACAGAGGGUGCAAACGUUGCUCGGAAUUACUGGGCGUAAAGCGUGCGUAGACGGCUAUCUAAGUCGGGUGUGAAAGCCCCGGGCUCAACCUGGGAAUUGCAUUCGAGACUGAAUAGCUAGGGUGCGGUAGAGGGAAGCGGAAUUUCCGGUGUAGCGGUGAAAUGCGUAGAUAUCGGAAGGAACAUCAGUGGCGAAAGCGGCUUCCUGGACCAGCACCGACGUUCAGGCACGAAAGCGUGGGGAGCAAACAGG